AAUGUCGAAUUCACUUCAAUCCAUGUGUGUCGGUAUGGAUUGAGGUGGAACUUAGUUCAAAUUUCACUCCAAUCCAUCUCAAUACAUGUGGAUUGAUGUGAAUCUGACU
rnacentral:pre_miRNA from 1 species